rnacentral:rRNA from 1 species
UCGGGAAUAUUGGACAAUGGGCGAAAGCCUGAUCCAGCCAUGCCGCGUGUGUGAAGAAGGCCUUCGGGUUGUAAAGCACUUUAAGCGAGGAGGAAUGGCUCUGGGUUAAUACCCUUGAGCAGUGACGUUACUCGCAGAAUAAGCACCGGCUAACUCUGUGCCAGCAGCCGCGGUAAUACGUAGGGACCAAGCGUUGUUCGGAUUUACUGGGCGUAAAGGGCGCGUAGGCGGCGUGGUAAGUCAUCUGUGAAAUCUCCGAGCUUAACUCGGAACGGUCAGAUGAUACUGCUGUGCUAGAGUACAGAAAGGGCAAUCGGAAUUCUUGGUGUAGCGGUGAAAUGCGUAGAUAUCAAGAGGAACACCUGAGGCGAAGGCGGGUUGCUAGGCUGAUACUGACGCUGAGGCGCGAAAGCUAGGGGAGCAAACGGGAUUAGAUACCCACGUAGUCCCUGAGCGGGCUGGCAAGGCGCAU